AUUAUUCACCAUUCCAUAUGAAAAGCUUGGUCUCAUCGAGCUAGGUUCUGCUCUUUCCAAACCAAGAGGUAAUAAUGAUGCCCCAGAAACCAGUGGAGGUUGUUGUUGAGAGUACGAAUGUGAUAGGUUAACUGCUGAAAUUGGAGAAUGAGGUUGACUAAAACUAGACGGAAUUCUGCUCUUUCCAAACCAUGCGGUAAAAAUGAUGCCCCAGAAACCGGUGGAGGUUGUUGUUGAGAGUACGAAUGUGAUAGGUUAACUGUUGAAAUUGGAGAAUGAGGUUGACUAAAACUAGCCGGACUUCCAGAAACAGGACCACCCAUAAUUGCAUUUCGGUAGGACUGAGUAAGAUAGCUGUGUGUUGCUGGUGAAGGAUCGGGACCCAAUCGGCCAGUUGCACUAACUGAACGACCCAGUGAUGGUGUUAUCUGAACCAUGGAAACAACAGGGGCAGCAGGCCUAGGUCCAGGAACUAUAAUCGGCCAGCUGCACUCACUGAACGAGCCAGUGAUGGUGUUGUCUGAACCAUGGAAACAACAGGGGCAGCAGGCCUAGGUCCAGGAACUAAAGGAUCACACAGUGGUCUGGACACGGCAGGCACUUGUCGCCAUUUGAAAUUUUCUGUGGUAGAAGAGACUGUUACUUGUUGAGACAAGGACUCCCCAGUCGUAAUACAAAUGGGCUGCACUGAGGGC
rnacentral:lncRNA from 1 species